rnacentral:tRNA from 1 species
GGGAAGGUGGCUCAGUGGUAGAGUGCUUGCCUUGCAUGCAUGAGGCCCUGGGUUCGAUUCCUUAGCACCCA